CUUCCUUCCUUAUAUUCUGGCUCCAUUACUAGACUUUAUAUCUUCAGGGAUCCUAGUCGGAUUCCUUUCCACUGUGCCACAAAGGGAACUCCCAGGGGGGCUCAUUCUUAGUCUGGGGGCUGGCUGGCUGUGGGCUGCGGAGGUGCCGUACCCAGGCUGCACCCCUUUUCUCCUCCGUGCGCUAGCCCAGGGGUUCAUAUCUUCACAGGCCAAGUGCUAAGGGCAAGACAAGAAGCACACAGCAGAGCACUUGGUGAAACCUGUCUGUGCACGUUUGCUAGCAUCUCAUUGGUCAAAGUAAGUCACAUGACUGAACUCAGCCCCGCAUUGCCGGAAGUAUAGCUUAUCUCUUGAUGGAAGGAACGGCGGAGGCACUUUGCAAAAAACGUGCAGACCGGGAGGGAUGGAUAAAUUGGGACCAUUAAGGUGAGUAAUGUAUCACCUCUAGAGUUUCUUAUUAUUACUCUUCUUUGAAACGUUUUACUGGCUCUUUCUGCAAACAUAUUCCUAUUUAUUUAUGUAUUUAUUUAUUUUGCUUUUUAGGGCUGCACCGGGCAUAUGGAGGUUCCCGGGCUAAGGGUUGAAUCCGAGCGGCCAACAUCACAGCCAUAGCAACGCCAGAUCUGAGCCACGUCUGUGACCUACACUACAGCUCAUCUCCACGCCGGAUCCUUAACCCACUGAGCGAGGCUGGGGAUGGAAGCCGCGUACUCAUGGAUACUAAGUUGUGUUAGCUACAGCUGAGCCGGGAUGGGAACUCCAGCUUUCUGGCAUUUAUUUUUCUGAAUAUUUUCUAUUCGAGAUCAGUUGAAUAUGUGGGUGUGGAACCCCGUGGAUAUUGGGUUCUGACUGGAACUAUUUUUCAGGCAGCAAGUAAGGCCAGCUCUUUACGAGAAUGUAAGCUUAAGCUCUGCAAGGCCAAGGAUUGUCCCUUGUUGAUGUUUUAUCCCUCGUCGGCUCCAACCUGUGGCCAAGUUCCUGGCAGAAGUUCCUGGACCAUGGAUAGAACCUGUGCCGUGGCCACCACCCAAGCCUCAGCAGGGACCAUGCUGGAUCCUUAACUUGCUGCACCGCCAGGGAGCUCUGCCCUGCAGCUUUGCUUGGUUUAAGCCCAUCAGGUCAGUUUGUCAUUUUAGAGCAAAUGGAAUGCAGCUAGGAUAAAAAGCAUUGUCCACUUGGCUUAUAUGCAUCUGGAUGUUCCACAUUAAAAAAAAAAAAAAAAA
rnacentral:lncRNA from 1 species